rnacentral:rRNA from 1 species
CCUAACACAUGCAAGUCGAACGGUAACAGGAAGCAGCUUGCUUCUUGCUGACGAGUGGCGGACGGGUGAGUAAUGUCUGGGAAACUGCCUGAUGGAGGGGGAUAACUACUGGAAACGGUAGCUAAUACCGCAUAACGUCGCAAGACCAAAGAGGGGGACCUUCGGGCCUCUUGCCAUCGGAUGUGCCCAGAUGGGAUUAGCUUGUGGUGGGGUAACGGCUCACCAGGCGACGAUCCCUAGCUGGUCUGAGAGGAUGACCAGCCACACUGGAACUGAGACACGGUCCAGACUCCUACGGGAGGCAGCAGUGGGGAAUAUUGCACAAUGGGCGCAAGCCUGAUGCAGCCAUGCCGCGUGUAUGAAGAAGGCCUUCGGGUUGUAAAGUACUUUCAGCGGGGAGGAAGGGAGUAAAGUUAAUACCUUUGCUCAUUGACGUUACCCGCAGAAGAAGCACCGGCUAACUCCGUGCCAGCAGCCGCGGUAAUACGGAGGGUGCAAGCGUUAAUCGGAAUUACUGGGCGUAAAGCGCACGCAGGCGGUUUGUUAAGUCAGAUGUGAAAUCCCCGGGCUCAACCUGGGAACUGCAUCUGAUACUGGCAAGCUUGAGUCUCGUAGAGGGGGGUAGAAUUCCAGGUGUAGCGGUGAAAUGCGUAGAGAUCUGGAGGAAUACCCGGUGGCGAAGGCGGCCCCCUGACGAAGA